UAAUACGAAGGGUGCAAGCGUUAUCCGGAUUUAUUGGGUUUAAAGGGUCCGUAGGCGGAUCUUUAAGUCAGUGGUGAAAUCCUGCAGCUUAACUGUAGAAUUGCCAUUGAUACUGGAGAUCUUGAGUACACUGGAAGUAGGCGGAAUACGGCAUGUAGCGGUGAAAUGCAUAGAUAUGCCGUAGAACACCGAUUGCGAAGGCAGCUUACUAUCGUGUAACUGACGCUGAGGGACGAAAGCGUGGGUAGCGAACAGGAUUAGAUACCCUGGUAGUCCACGCCGUAAACGAUGAUUACUCGUUGUUAGCGAUACACUGUUAGCGACCAAGCGAAAGCUUUAAGUAAUCCACCUGGGGAGUACGCCGGCAACGGUG
rnacentral:rRNA from 1 species